rnacentral:sRNA from 1 species
GUUUGGUGAGAAUUGCUUGAACCGAGAGGCAGAGGUUGCAGUGAGUCAAGAUUGUGCUACUGCACUCCAGCCUGGGCAAUACAGUGAGACUGUCUCAGAAAAAAAAAAGGUGUUUGGGGCCAGGGGCUUUGAGUGAGGCAGGGGAAUAGCAAAGUCCUGGGAGCCUACUAAAUGACCACUGUUGUCAGCAUCAGACCCUGAUCCUUGGGGACUGGACUCCACAGGCGCUACAAAAUCUCUAACAUCCUCUCUCUUCCUCUACAGCAGAACAGCCCCGUAGCCCCCACAGCCCAGCCAAAAGCCCCACCCACAAGGGCUCCCCAGUCAGGAUCAGCCCCAGCAGCCAAAGCGCCCCCCAAAGCCACAUCCACCAGAGCCCAGCAGCAGCUGGCCUUCCUAGAGGGCCGCAAGAAGCAGCUCCUGCAGGCCGCACUGCGAGCCAAGCAGAAAAACGACGUGGAGGGCGCCAAGAUGCAUCUGCGCCAGGCCAAGGGACUGGAGCCUAUGCUGGAGGCCUCACGCAAUGGGCUGCCUGUGGACAUCACCAAGGUGCCGCCCGCCCCUGUCAACAAGGACGACUUUGCCCUGGUCCAGCGGCCCGGCCCGGGUCUGUCUCAGGAGGCCACCCGGCGCUAUGGUGAACUCACCAAGCUCAUACGGCAGCAGCAUGAGAUGUGCCUGAACCACUCAAACCAAUUCACCCAGCUGGGCAACAUCACUGAAACCACCAAGUUUGAAAAGUUGGCGGAGGACUGUAAGCGGAGCAUGGACAUUCUGAAGCAAGCCUUCG